rnacentral:lncRNA from 1 species
AAUUGAUUAUACUAUUAUGUUAUGUGGAAUUAUGUGAAUUAUUUCAACUACAUGAUUAUUAUUAAUUGUUCUCUCACUAUGAUAUAGGUGGAAUUACAAAAAUUGCAUGUGGAAUACUUGUGAAUUAGUAUAUGAGACAUAUGUUCUAUUGACCACUACUAGGGCAUCGAGGCAUGCCAUUGUGUUAGCCGCGAGUGAGAUUUCUCGGGUUAUAGCAAGGGUAGUUAAGGGAUGUACAUUUGGUGAUCACAGGAGGAUUGACCACUUGCUUGUACUAUGGUGAUAUGGUGAUUAUUAGUUUCUUGGGUGGGAUACUUUCUGGGCGAUCAUGGGGUUGUCAGGGGAUGUACCUCUAGUGAUCACAGGAGGAUGGUCUACUCAACUGUGAUAUUGUGAUCAUUAGCAUCUUGGGUGGGAUAUUUCUUGGAUGAUCAUGGGGGAUGUCAGGAGAUGUACCCCUGAUGGUUACAGGAGGAUGGGCCAUUCGAUUAUGCUAGUUGAUUAUUAAUUACUGAUAUUGAUAUUAAGCAGAGCUCUAUUCGAUACCUGGUAGGUGUGUCAUGGGCCCAACAAAAAUGAAAGUUUCAAAUGAAAAUAUUUUGAGUUUACAUUGAUGAUUUAUCAUGUCUGAAAGAUGAUGUUUUCAGUAUUACAAGAAUAAUUCUAUCUUGAUUAUUAUUAUGUAAUGUUAUAUCAUGACCUGUUAAGUGAUGUAGACUCGAUUUUGAUAAAAAUGUAUGAAUCAAAAGGUAUAAUUAUUUUAAAACUUCACCACUCAAUGAGCUAUCAACUUAUAUAUUUUCUUGCAAUUUUUCUUAUCGGGUAGCAGUUGAAUUUUUGGGCAUCUUUUGGAAUUGAGCCUUUGAUUUUGGAGUCAAAGCCUUACGAUAGAGUUUGUCAGUAUGACUAUUUCAUGGAGCAUGUUGUCCAUGUUUUGGGACACAUGUUC